rnacentral:rRNA from 1 species
AGUGAACGCUGGCGGCAGGCCUAACACAUGCAAGUCGAGCGGCAGCGCGGGGGCAACCCUGGCGGCUAGCGGCGGACGGGUGAGGAAUUCGUCGGAAUCUGCUGUUUUGGGGGGGAGAACGUCGGGAAACUUCCGCUAAUACCGCAUACGUCCUACGGGAGCAAGUGGGGGAGCGCAAGGCCUUACGCAGAAAGAUGAGCCGACGAGCGAUUAGCUAGUUGGUGGGGUAAACGCCCACCAAGGCGACGAUCGGUAGCUGGUCUGAGUGGAUGGUAGCCCACCUUAGAACGGGGACACGCCCCAGGCUCCUGCGGGAGGCAGCAGUGGGGAAUGUUGGGCAACGGGCGCAAACCUGAUCCAGCCAGGGGGCGUGUGUGACGGAGACCUUGGGGUUGUGAAGCACUUUUUUGCGGAAUGAACUCCCUGGGGCUAAGACGUUGCGGGGAUGACGGUACCGGAUGAAGAAGCACCGGCUAACUACGUG